GUGAGCUGGACAAUGUAAUAUUUUUCCUGUGAAAAAGGACUUCUGGGCCCAGUCCUUGCAUUCGGGACUAUAUAUCUACCUACUCUCUCAAGUUUCGCAUAAUUUGGCGUUUUAGAAAUGUCCACGGGAAUAUAUUUCGAUUCUUUGGUGGUCAAAUUUUAUGAAGUUCGAUAUAAAAUGUGAAAGAGGAAGAAGAGACAGGAGAGAGAGGAAGCAGAGUUCCUGGCUAAAAAGAGCAUAUUCUGCGGGUCUACUCAACCCUACCCUGGUUCCGAAUCCCUUGAAAUCAACGCUUAACACAGUGGAACACUCAAUUUUUGCCAAAUGAAAUGGACUAUCUGCUGCUACUCGCUGUCGAACAUAUUUUUUAUGCCAUUUAACUUUUUCGCAUUAAACUGAUUAAAUUGAUUAA